rnacentral:rRNA from 1 species
GCUCAGUACGGCGAGUGAGCGGCAACAGCUCAAAUUUGAAAUCUGGCUCUUUCAGGGUCCGAAUUGUAAUUUGCAGAGGAUGCUUUGGGUGCGGGCGCCUUCCGAGUUCCCUGGAACGGGACGCCAUAGAGGGUGAGAGCCCCGUCUGGUAGGAUGCCCAGCCCGUGUAAAGCUCCCUCGACGAGUCGAGUAGUUUGGGAAUGCUGCUCUAAGGGGAGGUAUACUCCUUCCAAAGCUAAAUACCGGCUGGAGACCGAUAGCGCACAAGUAGAGUGAUCGAAAGAUGAAAAGCACUUUGAAAAGAGAGUCAAAUAGCACGUGAAAUUGUUGAAAGGGAAGCGCUCGCUACCAGACUUGGGUACGCGGUUCCGUAGGUGCUCCGCACCUGCGUACUCCUCGUGCCCAGGCCAGCAUCAGUUCUUCGUCGGGUUAAAAGGCUUCGGGAAUGUGGCUCGCCUCGGUGAGUGUUAUAGUCCCGUUGUGUCAUGCCCGGUGGGGGACUGAGGUACGCGCUCCGCAAGGAU